AGUUUCAAUAUUUCAUUUCAAUUUAGCCCAACGUCCCUACGCCCGACAUGAAAGCUCAUUUAAAUAUAAGUCCAACAAAGCACUCAAGAAAAACAAAUAGCAUCCAAACAAAUAACACAUCGUGCAGCAAAUUGCUCCUGCGAUAACAUAAGGUUAUUUAAAACACGAUUCUAGCCCACUAAUAUACCAAACCAAUCUAUAGAAAAUUUCAGAGAAUUCAAGCCUAACAUAUCCAAACUCACUUUGUUACUUAAACAAAAUUAAUCCAAAUCUUACUUCCAAUUUUAAGACUUAUACUUAUCAAAUGUAGAACUAGAUUGAACAAACUAAAAUUCCCUUCAUCUUUGUUAUCAAAUGUCACUGCCCAGAGAGAAUGCUAAGCACAAAAGGAACGAGAAUCUGACAACAAAUUAAGCUCAAAUUCAUUUUAGACAUAGACCAACACAGAGGAACAUGAAUCAGAUAACCAAUCAAACUUUAAUUCAUUUGAAAUAAAGAGUGAGACAGAAGAAAUGAACCUUGAUUGAAAAAUAAAAUCGGCAAACAAGAACUGCACCCGAACCUCGAGCGGAACCUCAGACUCUAACCUCGAACAGAUUUUGGAAUUUUUGUUUUAGGCGAUGAGCGAUGAAGCUGUGUGCUGAGACCCGUUUCCUUUUGCUCUCCCCGUUGCUUUGUCCGUUCCCUCAACUCCCUCUGUUUCGUGACCUCCUCUCUUUAUGGGUGGUGUCUUCCGGUGUUAAUGGCUGAUUUACGGUGGCUUUAGGGGGUUGAAUGGGCUAUUUUUGGGGCUGGACUUUGGUGGAGGUUUGUGUUGAUUACGGUGGAGAAGAUAGGUUCUUGAAUUUUUCCGUUCCUUUUCCUUUUGUUCCCCUGUUUUUCUCUGUUUUUGUUCUGUUUGCCGUCGUGAGUGGAGUUGAAGGGUAGUGUUGAAGUUGGUGGUAAUGGGUGUUUAAUAGAGAUUAAAGUAGAGUGGGAAAUUAGGUGGCGUCCAUGGAGUUGAACUGUGGCAUCUCUCUCUUUUUUCUAAUCCCGUUCCCAAACCCUCUGCUUUUCUCUCGUCCUCUAGGCCUCUCUUUUCUCUCUUUGCUCUAUCUGUUUUUUCUCCUUUUUUGUUUUUCCCA
rnacentral:lncRNA from 1 species